UGCAACUAGGAUGAUGAAAAACACUUACAACAACAACAUGAAUUUCUUCAACUGAUCUAAUAUGAGGAACCAAACUUUGACAGCUUUUUAACCCUGAUCUAGUUGCG
rnacentral:snoRNA from 1 species